GAUGAAGAACGUAGCGAAAUGCGAUACGUAAUGUGAAUUGCAAAUUCAGUGAAUCAUCGAGUCUUUGAACGCACAUUGCGCCCCCUGGUAUUCCGGGGGGCAUGCCUGUCCGAGCGUCAUUAUCAACCUCUCAAGCUUGGCUUGUCGUUGGACCUUGCAGAUGCCGGUAAAUCGGCGGCGGUAGGUCUUCAACCUAGUGGCGGAGUUCGGUAUGGGCCCCGGAUACAACGAGCUCUCUAGCAUGUAUCAAGGUGGCCCGCCGGCCUAGCCUCGUCGAAAAGUCUUAACCAUGGUUGACCUCGGAUCAGGUAGGAGAACCCGCUGAACUUAAGCAUAUCAAUAAGCGGAGGA
rnacentral:misc_RNA from 1 species